UACGGGGGGAGCAAGCGUUGUUCGGAUUUACUGGGCGUAAAGGGCGCGUAGGCGGCCACCGCAAGUCGGUUGUGAAAUCUCUGGGCUUAACCCAGAAAGGUCAAUCGAUACUGCGGGGCUAGAGUGCAGAAGGGGCAACUGGAAUUCUCGGUGUAGCGGUGAAAUGCGUAGAUAUCGAGAGGAACACCUGCGGCGAAGGCGGGUGCUGGGCUGACACUGACGCUGACAGCGCGAAAGCGUAGGGGAGCGAACGGG
rnacentral:rRNA from 1 species